GUAACUAUUAAGUUUUUUCAGACGCUGAUUGCAACUGCAAGUGGUUUAAAUUGUCCAAUCGGCGGGCGGACCCGCCGAGGAAACGUAAGGUACUCAAAAGACAUGGGUAAGAGAUGGCAGGCAAAGCCCGCAACUCUAGGUAAUGAUCCUUCCGCAGGUUCACCUACGGAAA
rnacentral:misc_RNA from 1 species